rnacentral:rRNA from 1 species
UACGUAGGGUGCAAGCGUUAAUCGGAAUUACUGGGCGUAAAGCGUGCGCAGGCGGUUCCGCAAGUCAGAUGUGAAAUCCCCGGGCUUAACCUGGGAAUUGCAUUUGAAACUAUGGAACUAGAGUGUGUCAGAGGGGGGUAGAAUUCCACGUGUAGCAGUGAAAUGCGUAGAGAUGUGGAGGAAUACCGAUGGCGAAGGCAGCCCCCUGGGGUGACACUGACGCUCAUGCACGAAAACGUGGGGAGCAAACAGG